rnacentral:rRNA from 1 species
GUGGGGAAUAUUGGACAAUGGGCGAAAGCCGAUCCAGCCAUGCCGCGUGUGUGAAGAAGGUCUUCGGAUUGUAAAGCACUUUAAGUUGGGAGGAAGGGCAGUAAGUUAAUACCUUGCUGUUUUGACGUUACCGACAGAAUAAGCACCGGCUAACUUCGUGCCAGCAGCCGCGGUAAUACGAAGGGUGCAAGCGUUAAUCGGAAUUACUGGGCGUAAAGCGCGCGUAGGUGGUUUUGUAAGUUGGAGGUGAAAUCCCCGGGCUCAACCUGGGAACUGCCUCCAAAACUGCAUGACUAGAGUACGGUAGAGGGUAGUGGAAUUUCCUGUGUAGCGGUGAAAUGCGUAGAUAUAGGAAGGAACACCAGUGGCGAAGGCGACUACCUGGACUGAUACUGACACUGAGGUGCGAAAGCGUGGGGAGCAAACAGGAUUAGAAACCCGUGUAGUCC